rnacentral:tRNA from 1 species
UCCCCUGUCGUCUAAUGGCAGGACGCAAGACUUUGGUUCUUGCUGUGUAGGUUCGACUCCUACCAGGGGAGCAA